rnacentral:tRNA from 1 species
GAUCGGUUCCUGCGAGGAGUACCGGCAGUUCGCCGACUCCCAGUCGGUGGGGACGGCAUGAGCGGACCGCUGGCCCGUUCCAUGCGGAUGGCCGAGCCCC